rnacentral:rRNA from 1 species
CUCGUAGUUGAAUUUCUGGUCUCGAGACGCGGUCAGCUCCAAGGAGUUUGUACUUGCGGAUUGGGACCAUCCUCGAGAAGAACAUAUCUGUCAUUGAGUUGAUGGGUAUGGGAAUCUCGUCAUUUACUGUGAGCAAAAUAGAGUGUUCAAAGCAGGCUUACGCCGUUGAAUACAUUAGCAUGGAAUAAUAAGAUAGGACCUUGGUCUAUUUUGUUGGUUAGUUCUCCAAGGUAAUGAUUAAUAGGGACAGUUGGGGGUAUUCGUAUUCAAUUGUCAGAGGUGAAAUUCUUGGAUUUAUGGAAGACGAACUACUGCGAAAGCAUUUACCAAGGAUGUUUUCAUUAAUCAAGAACGAAAGUUAGGGGAUCGAAGAUGAUUAGAUACCAUCGUAGUCUUAACCAUAAACUAUGCCGACUAGGGAUUGGUGGGUGUUAUUAGCGACUCCAUCAGCACCUUAUGAGAAAUCAAAGUCUUUGGGUUCCGGGGGGG